rnacentral:rRNA from 1 species
GACGAACGCUGGCGGCGUGCUUAACACAUGCAAGUCGAACGAUGAAGAAAAGAAUCGAAGCUUCGGCAGAAAUUCAUUUCGGAUUAGUGGCAGACGGGUGAGUAACGCGUGAGCAACCUACCUCUUACAAAGGGAUAGCCUCGGGAAACCGGGAUUAAUACCAUAUAACAUUGUGACGAAGCAUUUCGAUGCAAUCAAAGCUACGGCGGUAAGAGAUGGGCUCGCGUCCCAUUAACCGGAUGGUGAGGUAACGGCUCACCAUAGUGACGAUGGGUAACCGGCCUGGGAGGGUGAACGGUCACACUGGAACUGAGACACGGUCCAGACUCCUACGGGAGGCAGCAGUGGGGAAUAUUGCACAAUGGAGGGAACUCUGAUGCAGCGACGCCGCGUGAGUGAUGAAGGAAUUCGUUUCGUAAAACUCUGUUCUAUGGGAAGAAAAGGACUGUACCAUAGGAGAAAGCUCCGGCUAAAUACGUG